GACGAACGCUGGCGGCGUGCUUAACACAUGCAAGUCGAACGGAAAGGCCCUGCUUUUGUGGGGUGCUCGAGUGGCGAACGGGUGAGUAACACGUGAGUAACCUGCCCUUGACUUUGGGAUAACUUCAGGAAACUGGGGCUAAUACCGGAUAGGAGCUCCUGCUGCAUGGUGGGGGUUGGAAAGUUUCGGCGGUUGGGGAUGGACUCGCGGCUUAUCAGCUUGUUGGUGGGGUAGUGGCUUACCAAGGCUUUGACGGGUAGCCGGCCUGGGAGGGUGACCGGCCACAUUGGGACUGAGAUACGGCCCAGACUCCUACGGGAGGCAGCAGUGGGGAAUAUUGCACAAUGGGCGGAAGCAUGAUGCAGCAACGCCGCGUGCGGGAUGACGGCCUUCGGGUUGUAAACCGCUUUCGCCUGUGACGAAGCGUGAGUGACGGUAAUGGGUAAAGAAGCACCGGCUAACUACGUG
rnacentral:rRNA from 1 species